AGAUCUUCAAAAAUAUCAAAUUCAACCUGUUCUUUAAUCUGGCCUUUCUUUGAAUCUCUCCUUUCUUUGUAGACAUGUCCACUAGUCCUUAACCUGAUUUAUGUGAUUGGUCAAUUGUGAGUUAAUGAAGGGGAUAAAAUGUUUUCUGGAAUGCUGGGAUAAUCGACAAAUAGCAAUGACCAGUAACUGGACCACGGCCAAGACAGGAACUUAAUCCCCUGAAGUCCAAGGGUAUUGUGAAGUUGCACUGAAGUGGGAACUGAAAGAAACCAGUUACAUCAUUCCAUUUGUUUCCUUAGAUUGGGACAAAUGCACUCACUCCAGUAAGCAUAUUUGAAGACUAAUUAUACAAGGAGAAAACAAGAUAGGAUGGAAUUUCUCUACUUUGGGGCACGUGAUUUCAAGUGUGGUUUAAGGGUUUAAUCCUCUUCUUUUCUAGCAACUUUUUACUGUUUGAUGCAGUCAGUAUGGGUUAUUUCUUCCAGAGGUCACACACUCUCGCCCCCUACCUCUGCUUUCCUUAAUGAUGCGGAGCAGCUCCCUAGCCCCCUGUCAAACAUUUUGCCUGAAUUCUCAGUGGCAACACAAGAGCUGAAUGGUUCAGCUGCAAGGAUUAAAGAGGAAGGGAAGAAAAGAAAAAGCCCUGAAAUGUCUCACAGGGAUGAGACAUUGGAAUGAAUUUUCUACUCACUUGUGGAGGCCAACUCCUCCAGGCAGAGCUGCUCUCACAGCAACACAGCCCUGGUGAAGGUUCUGUCUUACACCAACAGAUGGAGAGAAAAUGCUCCCAUCUCAAGUACACACUGGUCACGGACAGCAAAAUGAAAAAUGGAGGCAGAUUAGGCCAAAGUGGUCGCUGCUUUCUCUCGUUCUCAACUCAGCUUCCUCCUCUUUCUCCAUAUUAACCUGUUUCAUUGUACAUCUCCUGCUUAGUAUUAAGGAAGCAAGCUGUGCAGUUAUAUUAAAUGAUAGCAAUUGACCCCAAACUUCCCCUGCUUUUUAAA